AUUGAACGCUGGCGGCAGGCCUAACACAUGCAAGUCGAACGAGUGGCGGACGGGUGAGUAAUGUCUGGGAAACUGCCUGAUGGAGGGGGAUAACUACUGGAAACUGUCGCUAAUACCGCAUACCCUCGGAUGUGCCCAGAGGGGUUUAGCUAGUAGGGGGGGUAACGGCUCACCUAGGCGACGACCCGUAGCUGGUUUGAGAGGACGCACAGCCACACUGGAACUGAGACACGGCCCAGACUCCUACGGGAGGCAGCAGUGGGGAAUUUUGGACAAGGGGUGAAACCCUGAUCCAGCCAUCCCGCGUGUAUGAUGAAGGCCUUCGGGUUGUAAAGUACUUUUGGCAGGGAAGCGGUAUCUGCAGAAGAAGCACCGGCUAACUACGUGCCAGCAGCCGCGGUAAUUC
rnacentral:rRNA from 1 species